UAUUGGUUUGAUUCUAACCAACCAAUUUAUUUGCAUUAAUAAGAUACAUGUAAAAUUUUUAUUCCCGAGAGAACACCCGUUUCUUAAAGACAUACCUUUAUUUAUUUAUUAUAAUAUUAAUAAAAUGCUAAUGCCUCGCCUACAGUACUGAAUACUUUACAAUUUAUGAAAAUAAGAUAAGGUUAAAUGGCAUCUUCAUAUCUGGCUAAAUCUGUGCCAGCUGCCGCGGUUACACAGAAAGAUAAUGAAUUACAGUCGGUUAAAUGAGAUUUAUAAUGAUAAUAAUAAUAUUCUAUAAGGUUCAAUUUUAUUAUAAAACUUAAUCUAUAUUAUCUAUAAAUUACACCUCAUGAAAGCUUAAAUCUAAACAAGGAUUUGAUACCCUUCUAUUCUAAGCCAUAAACACAUCCGGGCACUACGAACUCAUGUUUAAAACCCAAAGAUCUUGGCGGUGCUUUAACUACUUAGGGGAACCUGUUUUUCUUUUGAUAAUCCACAUUUUUCUCUAUUAAUAUUUGACUUCAGCAUGUGUACUGCCGUCGACAGUUUACCUUGAAAAAGCUAAGUAAACACCUCAGUUUCUUACUCCUACGUCAGGUCAAAGUGCAGCUAAUAUAUUAAUUAAAAUGGGUUACAACCUUAUUUCAGAUACGAAUUAAUUAUAAAAACUAUUAUGAAGGCGGACUUAAAAGUAAAAUUAUAAAAAUUUAUAAUUUGAAUUUAGAAAUCUAAAGCAUGUACACAUCGCCCGUCACUCUCACCGAAAGGUAAGAUAAGUCGUAACAUAGUAGGUGUAAUGGAAAUUGUACCU
rnacentral:rRNA from 1 species